UACGGGGGGAGCAAGCGUUGUUCGGAUUUACUGGGCGUAAAGGGCGCGUAGGCGGCGUGACAAGUCACUUGUGAAAUCUCCGGGCUUAACUCGGAACGGUCAAGUGAUACUGUCGUGCUAGAGUACAGAAGGGGCAACUGGAAUUCUCGGUGUAGCGGUGAAAUGCGUAGAUAUCGAGAGGAACACCUGCGGCGAAGGCGACUACCUGGCCUGUUCUUGACGCUGAGGCGCGAAAGCUGGGGGAGCAAACGGG
rnacentral:rRNA from 1 species